AGAGUUUGAUCAUGGCUCAGAGCGAACGUUAGCGGCGCGCCUAACACAUGCAAGUCGCACGAGAAAGGGCUUCGGCCCCAGUAAAGUGGCGCACGGGUGCGUAACACGUAGGCAAUCUUCCCUUGAGCGGGGGAUAACGUUUCGAAAGAGACGCUAAUACCGCAUAAGACCACGUCCUGUUCGCAGGAUGCGGUCAAAGCUGGCCUCUUCUUGAAAGCUAGCACUUAAGGACGAGCCUGCGGCCCAUCAGCUAGUUGGUAGUGUAAUGGACUACCAAGGCGAAGACGGGUAGCUGGUCUGAGAGGAUGAUCAGCCACACUGGCACUGAAACACGGGCCAGACUCCUACGGGAGGCAGCAGUGGGGAAUAUUGGACAAUGGGCGAAAGCCUGAUCCAGCGACGCCGCGUGAGUGAUGAAGGCCUUCGGGUUGUAAAGCUCUGUUGAGGGAGAAGAAAACGGCUGGCGUGAAUAACUCCAGUCCUUGACGGUAUCCCUUUAGAAAGCACCGGCUAACUCUGUGCCAGCAGCCGCGGUAAGACAGAGGGUGCAAACGUUGCUCGGAAUUACUGGGCGUAAAGCGCGUGUAGGCGGGCCCACAAGUCGGACGUGAAAUCCCUGAGCUCAACUCAGGAACUGCAUCCGAAACUGUGGGCCUGGAGUGGUGGAGAGGGAAGCAGAAUUCCUGGUGUAGAGGUGAAAUUCGUAGAUAUCAGGAGGAACACCGGUGGCGAAGGCGGCUUCCUGGACACUUACUGACGCUGAGACGCGAAAGCGUGGGGAGCAAACAGGAUUAGAUACCCUAGUAGUCC
rnacentral:rRNA from 1 species